UACGGGGGGGGCAAGCGUUGUUCGGAAUUACUGGGCGUAAAGGGUUCGUAGGUGGCUCGCUAAGUCAGACGUGAAAUCCCUCGGCUUAACCGGGGAACUGCGUCUGAUACUGGAUGGCUUGAGUUUGGGAGAGGGAUGCGGAAUUCCAGGUGUAGCGGUGAAAUGCGUAGAUAUCAGGAGGAAUACCGGUGGCGAAAGCGACUCUCUGGACGGCAACUGACGCUGAGGCACGAAAGCGUGGGGAGCAAACAGG
rnacentral:rRNA from 1 species